CUGCCGAGCUCAAGUUACCAGCUAUGUAUGGUUUCAACACUUACAUUUAUUGAGUUAUUGAAAAGUAUCCUACAAACAUUGUUCGAAUGUGAAAGUGAUCAGGUUUUCUGAAACAGGUGUGUUUGUAUUGAAGAACCCUGAGAUUGUGGACAGUAGGACUUGUGUGAACAGGUGUGAACAGACUUAAGAUAAUUAUGUUUUCCUUUCUCUGUCUUUCGAAACUCAGGAACAGUUUGAAUGUUUUUUUAUUGUAAUUUAAACAAUGGUAUGGAUGACUAAGCUGGAUCUUUCUCUCUGAAUCAGGAGUGCACUUUCAUUCUCCCAAUUUUUCCAAAAGCCCAAUCUGAGCAACCUUUGCUAUAAACCCUGUCUUUCCCAUUGUUGUUUCAAAAGUGGAAAAUGAUAAAUUCGAUAAUCACACAUAAUGGGCAUUUCACAGCCAAGACUUUUGAUCCUUCCCAUCAAGGCCAUGUUGGCCAGUUUAACCUUCACCCGGUCCCUCUCUUCCGGAGUCCUCUUGGAGGUGCACUCCACAGUAGAGUCGGUCUCAAAGGAGAUGGCUGGGACGUGAGUGAGCAGGUGGCCCCCAGCCUUCUCCUGGGCCAUGGGCGUGGGAGUCUGCAGGACCAGCCCGUGCGUCGCUUGUUGAUGUCGAAGGUAAAAGCUAAGAGGAUACACACAUUGACCAUAUAAUGUAAUGUUGUUACAUGUAACUAACUAGCUUGACUUGCCACCGUGUGAAACAUGUAUGCUACCAUAUGUUACUAAAAAGAGCUGACAAUAUUAUAAAAUGUAAUCCAGGAGUUUAUGUUUGAAUUCUGGUUCUCUCACAACACAAGUCACUCAGAAAAGCAUCUGUAGGCAGAAGCAUGCUACAUGUACAUUUGGCAUUUGAAAAAACUACAGCUGUGCUAUCAAUCAAAUUUCAAUCAAAUUUAUUUUAUAUAGCCCUUCGUACAUCAGCUGAUAUCUCAAAGUGCUGUACAGAAACCCAGCCUAAAACCCCAAACAGCAAGCAAUGCAGGUGAAGAAGCACGGUGGCUAGGAAAAACUCCCUAGAAAGGCCAAAACCUAGGAAGAAACCUAGAGAGGAACCAGGCUAUGUGGGGUGGCCAGUCCUCUUCUGGCUGUGCCGGGUGGAGAUUAUAACAAAACAUGGUCAAGAUGUUCAAAUGUUCAUAAAUGACCAGCAUGGUCGAAUAAUAAUAAGGCAGAAUAGUUGAAACUGGAGCAGCAGCACAGUCAGGUGGACUGGGGACAGCAAGGAGUCAUCAUGUCAGGUAUUCCUGGGGCAUGGUCCUAGGGCUCAGGUCCUCCGAGAGAGAGAAAGAAAGAGAGAAUUAGAGAGAGCAUAUGUGGGAUGGCCAGUUCUCUUCUGGCUGUGCCGGGUGGAGAUUAUAACAGAACAUGGCCAAGAUGUUCAAAUGUUCAUAAAUGACCAGCAUGGUCGAAUAAUAAUAAGGCAGAACAGUUGAAACUGGAGCAGCAGCACGGCCAGGUGGACUGGGGACAGCAAGGAGUCAUCAUGUCAGGUAUUCCUGGGGCAUGGUCCUAGGGCUCAGGUCCUCCGAGAGAGAGAAAGAAAGAGAGAAUUAGAGAGAGCAUAUGUGGGAUGGCCAGUCCUCUUCUGGCUGUGCCGGGUGGAGAUUAUAACAGAACAUGGCCAAGAUGUUCAAAUGUUCAUAAAUGAUCAGCAUGGUCGAAUAAUAAUAAGGCAGAACAGUUGAAACUGGAGCAGCAGCACAGCCAGGUGGACUGGGGACAGCAAGGAGUCAUCAUGUCAGGUAGUCCUGGGGCAUGGUCCUAGGGCUCAGGUCCUCCGAGAGAGAGAAAGAGAGAAGGAGAGAAUUAGAGAACGCACACUUAGAUUCACACAGGACACACUAUGCUACCGAAUGCAAAAUGUAUCUGUAUCAUAAAAGUGUAGUGCAAUAUUCCCUUUUCUUGCCACACACACACACACACACACACACUCUCUCACUAGGGACAAAUGUUUCGGCUCCUUGUCCAGAGAGGUUUGAACUUUAGAAGAGGAUCUGCAGCAAAAGUAGACCUUUACUGCCAUCUACAGGUCAAAGGUCAGACUGGCAUUCAGUAAAAUGUAAACAUGGGCGAUCCACAGAAAAUGGAAAUGUGUGUGUUUCUGUUUGAGAAGUUAAACCAGUUAAUUCCCUUAUAACUGAGUGUCCUGCAUCAUGUAUUAUUUUAUUGGUUGUAAAUUAAAUACGGUUUAUUUUACAGUACAUGUAUUUUACACUGAAUCAUUGAUAUCUGGUCGAAUGUUGGUUGUGGGACAUAACUGAAGUACUAUGUGUGUGUGUUCAAUGAAUCACACUGUUUGUGUGUGUGUGGGUGGGGGUGCAUGUUCUAUACAUUAUUCAGGACAACAUUACUUUGUUUAGCCUACACCGUGACUAUGACUGCAUAAUAAACUAAACUAAAUAUACUAUGUAUUUUCUAAUCAAAUGUGU
rnacentral:lncRNA from 13 species